rnacentral:rRNA from 1 species
CCUACGGGUGGCAGCAGUGGGGAAUAUUGGACAAUGGGGGCAACCCUGAUCCAGCCAUGCCGCGUGUGUGAAGAAGGCCCUCGGGUUGUAAAGCACUUUCAGUGAGGAAGAACGCCUGGUGGUUAAUACCCAUCAGGAAAGACAUCACUCACAGAAGAAGCACCGGCUAACUCCGUGCCAGCAGCCGCGGUAAUACGGAGGGUGCGGGCGUUAAUCGGAAUUACUGGGCGUAAAGCGCGCGUAGGUGGCUUGAUAAGCCGGUUGUGAAAGCCCCGGGCUCAACCUGGGAACGGCAUCCGGAACUGUCAAGCUAGAGUGCAGGAGAGGAAGGUAGAAUUCCCGGUGUAGCGGUGAAAUGCGUAGAGAUCGGGAGGAAUACCAGUGGCGAAGGCGGCCUUCUGGACUGACACUGACACUGAGGUGCGAAAGCGUGGGUAGCAAACAGGAUUAGAUACCCUAGUAGUC